rnacentral:rRNA from 2 species
GUCGAGCGAUGAAACUUUAACAGAACCCUUCGGGGCGAAGAUAAAGUGGAUUAGCGGCGGACGGGUGAGUAACACGUGAGUAACCUGCCUUAGACAUUGGGAUAGCCUCGGGAAACCGGGAUUAAUACCAAAUAAAAUCAUAAUGACACAUGUCAUAACGAUCAAAACUCCGGUGGUCUAAGAUGGACUCGCGUCCCAUUAGCUAGUUGGUAGAGUAAAAGCCUACCAAGGCGACGAUGGGUAGCCGGCCUGAGAGGGUGAACGGCCACAUUGGAACUGAGAAACGGUCCAAACUCCUACGGGAGGCAGCAGUGGGGAAUAUUGCACAAUGGAGGGAACUCUGAUGCAGCGACGCCGCGUGAACGAAGAAGGCUUUCGAGUCGUAAAGUUCUUUUAUAUGGGAAGAUAAUGACGGUACCAUAAGAAAAAGCCCCGGCUAACUACGUGCCAGCAGCCGCGGUAAUACGUAGGGGGCUAGCGUUGUCCGGAAUCACUGGGCGUAAAGGGUUCGCAGGCGGAAAUGCAAGUCAGAUGUAAAAGGCAGUAGCUUAACUACUGUAAGCAUUUGAAACUGCAUAUCUUGAGAAGAGUAGAGGUAAGUGGGAUUUUUAGUGUAGCGGUGAAAUGCGUAGAUAUUAAAAAGAAUACCGGUGGCGAAGGCGACU